UACGGAGGAUCCGAGCGUUAUCCGGAUUUAUUGGGUUUAAAGGGAGCGUAGGUGGAUUGUUAAGUCAGUUGUGAAAGUUUGCGGCUCAACCGCAAAAUUGCAGUUGAAACUGGCAGUCUUGAGUACAGUAGAGGUGGGCGGAAUUCGUGGUGUAGCGGUGAAAUGCUUAGACAUCACGAAGAACUCCGAUUGCGAAGGCAGCUCACUGGACUGCAACUGACACUGAGGCUCGAAAGUGUGGGUAUCAAACAGG
rnacentral:rRNA from 1 species